rnacentral:rRNA from 1 species
AGAGUUUGAUCAUGGCUCAGAAUGAACGCUGGCGGCGUGCUUAACACAUGCAAGUCGAACGAUGAAGUCUAGCUUGCUAGAUGGAUUAGUGGCGCACGGGUGAGUAAUGCAUAGGUAACGUGCCCCUUAGUCUGGGAUAGCCACUGGAAACGGUGAAUAAUACUGGAUACUCCUUCUACCUUGAUGGUAGUUGGGAAAGUUUUUCGCUAAGGGAUCGGCCUAUGUUGUAUCAGGUAGUUGGUGAGGUAAUGGCUCACCAAGCCUAUGACACAUAGCGGGUCUGAGAGGAUGAUCCGCCACACUGGUACUGAGACACGGACCAGACUCCUACGGGAGGCAGCAGUGGGGAAUAUUGCACAAUGGACGAAAGUCUGAUGCAGCAACGCCGCGUGGAGGAUGACACAUUUCGGUGCGUAAACUCCUUUUAUAUGAGAAGAUAAUGACGGUAUCAUAUGAAUAAGCACCGGCUAACUCCGUGCCAGCAGCCGCGGUAAUACGGAGGGUGCAAGCGUUAUUCGGAAUCACUGGGCGUAAAGGGUGCGUAGGCGGUUUGAUAAGUCUGAUGUGAAAUCCUACAGCUUAACUGUAGAACUGCAUUGGAAACUGUCAGACUAGAAUACUGAAGGGGCAGAUGGAAUUAGUGGUGUAGGGGUAAAAUCCGUAGAUAUCACUAGGAAUACCGAAAGCGAAAGCGAUCUGCUGGGAAGUUAUUGACGCUGAGGCACGAAAGCGUGGGGAGCAAACGGGAUUAGAUACCCCGGUAGUCCACGCCCUAAACGAUGAAUGCUAGUCGUCGGAAAGCUCGUCUUUUCGGUGAUGCAGUUAACACAUUAAGCAUUCCGCCUGGGGAGUACGGUCGCAAGAUUAAAACUCAAAGGAAUAGACGGGGACCCGCAC